rnacentral:rRNA from 1 species
GACGAACGCUGGCGGCGUGCUUAACACAUGCAAGUCGAACGAUGAAGCCGGAGCUUGCUCUGGUGAAUUAGUGGCGAACGGGUGAGUAACACGUGAGUAACCUGCCCUUGACUCUGGGAUAACUGCGGGAAACUGUAGCUAAUACCGGAUACGACCCUCGGAGGCAUCUCCUGGGGGUGGAAAGAAUUUCGGUCAAGGAUGGACUCGCGGCCUAUCAGCUAGUUGGUGAGGUAAAGGCUCACCAAGGCGACGACGGGGAGCCGGCCUGAGAGGGUGGCCGGCCACACUGGGACGAAGACACGGCCCAGACUCCGACGGGAGGCAGCAGUGGGGAAUAUUGCACAAAGGGCGCAAGCCUGAUGCAGCAACGCCGCGUGAGGGAUGACGGCCUUCGGGUUGUAAACCUCUUUUAGCAGGGAAGAAGCGAAAGUGACGGUACCUGCAGAAAAAGCACCGGCUAACUACGUGCCAGCCGCCGCCGUAA